rnacentral:tRNA from 1 species
CAGAUAGUAGUUUAUACAAAACAUGAAAUUUGGAGAUUCAAGAAUCCAGUCUGA